CUUACCACUUUGUGAUUCAUGACUGGGUGAAGUCGUAACAAGGUAACCGUAGGGAACCUGCGGUUGGAUCACCUCCUUACCUUAAAGAA
rnacentral:rRNA from 1 species